AGCGAACGCUGGCGGCAGGCUUAACACAUGCAAGUCGAGCGCCCCGCAAGGGGAGCGGCAGACGGGUGAGUAACGCGUGGGAACGUACCCUUUGCUACGGAAUAGCUCCGGGAAACUGGAAUUAAUACCGUAUGUGCCCUACGGGGGAAAGAUUUAUCGGCAAAGGAUCGGCCCGCGUUGGAUUAGCUAGUUGGUGGGGUAAUGGCCUACCAAGGCGACGAUCCAUAGCUGGUCUGAGAGGAUGAUCAGCCACAUUGGGACUGAGACACGGCCCAAACUCCUACGGGAGGCAGCAGUGGGGAAUAUUGGACAAUGGGCGCAAGCCUGAUCCAGCCAUGCCGCGUGAGUGAUGAAGGCCUUAGGGUUGUAAAGCUCUUUCACCGGAGAAGAUAAUGACGGUAUCCGGAGAAGAAGCCCCGGCUAACUUCGUGCCAGCCGCCGCAGUAAAAC
rnacentral:rRNA from 1 species